rnacentral:rRNA from 1 species
ACUCCUACGGGAGGCAGCAGUGGGGAAUUUUCCGCAAUGGGCGAAAGCCUGACGGAGCAAUACCGCGUGAGGGAGGAAGGCUUUUGGGUCGUAAACCUCUUUUAUUGGGGAAGAAGAACUGACGGUACCCAAUGAAUCAGCAUCGGCUAACUCCGUGCCAGCAGCCGCGGUAAUACGGAGGAUGCAAGCGUUAUCCGGAAUUAUUGGGCGUAAAGCGUCCGCAGGUGGUUUUACAAGUCUGCUGUCAAAGCGUGCGGCUUAACCGCAUAUCGGCAGUGGAAACUGUGAGACUAGAGUUUGGUAGGGGUCACGGGAAUUCCCAGUGUAGCGGUGAAAUGCGUAGAUAUUGGGAAGAACACCAGCGGCGAAAGCGCGUGACUGGGCCUGAA